AUGAAUCAAAAUGCUAGCCCUGGACCUGAUGGCUUUGGACAUGGUUUCUAUCGGAAAUUCUGGCCCAUCGUCAAAGGCAAGAUAAAAGACUUCUUCUUCGACUUCCACUCUCUUCAAACUGACAUUUCCUGCCUCAACAGAGCUCAUAUUAUUCUCCUCCCUAAGCACAACGAAGCCCGCUCCCCCGCUGACUUCCGACCUAUUUCCCUCCAAAACUGCCCGGUAAAAGGGGUGGCCAAGUUGCUGACUAAUAGGCUAAAACCCCUCAUCCCUCUCCUCGUCCAUGCUGAUCAAACUGGCUUCCUCGCCGGGCGAAACAUCUCGGAAAACUUUCUUUACGCAGCAGACAUCCUUCACUGUUAUGCUAAAAGAAAAGCUCCUACUCCCGUUGUUAAACUAGACUUCCAGAAGGCCUUUGACUCGGUCUGCUGGACAUCCCUCCUCCAUACCAUGCGGACUCGCGGUUUCCUCGACCGCUAGUGUGAAUGGGUCAGCUCCCUCCUCUCCACUGGACUCACGACAGUCAUGCUAAAUGGUGUGCCGGGCCGUUGGAUCCAAUGCAAAAAUGGACUCUGUCAAGGUGACCCCCUCUCUCCUUACCUCUUCAUCAUCUUGGAUGACAUCCUUCAGCAGAUGAUCAUCAAGGCCAAUAUUGACGGUCUCCUUCUCCACCCCUUAUCCCCCACCUCCCUUGCCCUGUUCUCCAAUACGCGGACGACACACUUAUUAUUGUGA
rnacentral:rRNA from 1 species